rnacentral:sRNA from 1 species
AAUUUUAUUAAAUUGAUUUAGAUGUGUUGGUUAGACUUAAAUUGACAUUGGUUUAGAGAUUUUAGUUGGUUUAAUUCAAUUUUACAAAACUUGAUGGGUUAAUUGGGUAAACCAUUGAAACCAUUAACCAUUACAACUCAACUCAUUUUACUCAUCAAACCAAUUGACUCAUCAACUCAUUUGACCCAUCAACUCAUUUGAGUCAAAAAUUUCAACUCAUUAGGGUCCAUGGAUUGAGUUGAGUUGAGUUUGACCCAUGAAUUUUGACCCAUUUUGACACCCCUACUGAUACCUAAUAACAUCUUUAUUUGA